UACGAGGGGGGGCGAGCGUUUGUUCGGAAUUAUUGGGCGUAAAGGGUGCGUAGGCGGUUUGGUAAGUCUUAUGUGAAAUCUACAGGCUCAACUUGUAGUCUGCAUGAGAAACUGCCGGGCUUGAGUAUGGGAGAGGUGAGUGGAAUUCCUGGUGUAGCGGUGAAAAUGCGUAGAUAUCAGGAGGAACACCUGUGGCGAAAGCGGCUCACUGGACCAUAACUGACGCUGAUGCACGAAAGCUAGGGGAGCAAACAGGG
rnacentral:rRNA from 1 species